rnacentral:rRNA from 1 species
AGCGAACGUUUGCGGCGGGCUUAACACAUGCAAGUCGAACGGGCUGUUCCUUCGGGGGCAGUCAGUGGCGCACGGGUGCGUAACACGUAGGUAAUCAACCCUCUGGUUGGGGAUAACACUUCGAAAGGAGUGCUAAUACCCGGUAUGGCGCAGCGGUCUUCGGAUCGCGGCGAGAAAGACCCGCAAGGGUUGCCAGAGGACGAGCCUGCGGCCCAUCAGCUAGUUGGCGAGGUAACGGCUCACCAAGGCGAAGACGGGUAGCUGGUCUGAGAGGAUGAUCAGCCACACUGGAACUGAGACACGGUCCAGACUCCUACGGGAGGCAGCAGUGGGGAAUAUUGCGCAAUGGGCGAAAGCCUGACGCAGCCACGCCGCGUGAGCGAUGAAGGCCUCGGUCGUAAGACUCUGUGGGAGGAGAAGAAUAAAGACCUGUGAAGAGCAGGCCUUGACGGUAUCUCCUUAGCAAGACACCGGCUAACUCCGUGCCA